UACGUAGGGGGCAAGCGUUGUUCGGAUUUACUGGGCGUAAAGCGCGUGUAGGCGGCUUGGCAAGUCGGAUGUGAAAGCCCACGGCUCAACCGUGGAAGCGCAUCCGAAACGGCCUCGCUCGAGUCUCGGAGAGGAAGGUGGAAUGCUUGGUGUAGAGGUGAAAUUCGUAGAUAUCAAGCAGAACACCUGCGGCGAAGGCGGCCUUCUGGACGAUGACUGACGCUGAGACGCGAAAGCGUGGGGAGCAAACAGG
rnacentral:rRNA from 1 species